UGGCUCAGAACGAACGCUGGCGGCAGGCUUAACACAUGCAAGUCGAACGCGUGUAGCAAUACACGAGUGGCGCACGGGUGAGUAACGCGUGGAUAUCUGCCUUUUGGUUCGGAAUAACUCCGGGAAACUGGAGCUAAUACCGGAUGGUUCCUACGGGAUAAAGAUUUAUCGCCAAAAGAUGAGUCCGCGUACGAUUAGCUAGUUGGUGAGGUAAUGGCUCACCAAGGCGACGAUCGUUAGCUGGUCUGAGAGGACGAUCAGCCACACUGGGACUGAGACACGGCCCAGACUCCUACGGGAGGCAGCAGUGGGGAAUAUUGGACAAGUGGGGCAACCCUGAUCCAGCCAUGCCGCGUGAGUGAUGAAGGCCGUUCGGGUUAGUAAAGCUUCUUUGGCGGGGACGAUGAUGACGGUACCCGCAGAAUAAGCCCCGGCUAACUUCGUG
rnacentral:rRNA from 1 species